GAGUUUGAUCCUGGCUCAGGACGAACGCUGGCGGCGUGCUUAACACAUGCAAGUCGAACGAUGAAGCCCUUCGGGGUGGAUUAGUGGCGAACGGGUGAGUAACACGUGGGCAAUCUGCCCUUCACUCUGGGACAAGCCCUGGAAACUGGGGUCUAAUACCGGAUAACACAUCUGUCCCGCAUGGGACGGGGUUGAAAGCUCCGGCGGUGAAGGAUGAGCCCGCGGCCUAUCAGCUUGUUGGUGGGGUAAUGGCCUACCAAGGCGACGACGGGUAGCCGGCCUGAGAGGGCGACCGGCCACACUGGGACUGAGACACGGCCCAGACUCCUACGGGAGGCAGCAGUGGGGAAUAUUGCACAAUGGGCGAAAGCCUGAUGCAGCGACGCCGCGUGAGGGAUGACGGCCUUCGGGUUGUAAACCUCUUUCAGCAGGGAAGAAGCGAAAGUGACGGUACCUGCAGAAGAAGCGCCGGCUAACUACGUGCCAGCAGCCGCGGUAAUACGUAGGGCGCAAGCGUUGUCCGGAAUUAUUGGGCGUAAAGAGCUCGUAGGCGGCUUGUCACGUCGGAUGUGAAAGCCCGGGGCUUAACCCCGGGUCUGCAUUCGAUACGGGCUAGCUAGAGUGUGGUAGGGGAGAUCGGAAUUCCUGGUGUAGCGGUGAAAUGCGCAGAUAUCAGGAGGAACACCGGUGGCGAAGGCGGAUCUCUGGGCCAUUACUGACGCUGAGGAGCGAAAGCGUGGGGAGCGAACAGGAUUAGAUACCCUGGUAGUCCACGCCGUAAACGUUGGGAACUAGGUGUUGGCGACAUUCCACGUCGUCG
rnacentral:rRNA from 1 species